rnacentral:rRNA from 1 species
CACGUAGGGGGCAAGCGUUGUCCGGAUUUAUUGGGCGUAAAGAGCUCGUAGGUGGCUGAGUAAGUCGGAUGUUAAAUCCCCAGGCUCAACCUGGGACGCCACCCGAUACUGCUCUGGCUAGAGUCCGGUAGGGGAGCGUGGAAUUCCUGGUGUAGCGGUGAAAUGCGCAGAUAUCAGGAGGAACACCUGUGGUGUAGACAGCU